CUGAGUAAAGCUGUUAAUCCUGAUGAGGCUGUAGCCAUUGGAACUGCCAUUCAAGGGGGUGUGUUGGCUGGUGAUGUUACAGAUGUGCUACUCUUGGAUGUCACUCCCCUCUCUCUAGGUAUUGAGACACUGGGAGGUGUUUUUACCAAGCUUAUUAAUAGGAACACCACUUUUCCAACCAAAAAGAGCCAGGUGUUUUCUACUGCUGCUGAUGGACAAACUCAAGUAGAGAUUAAAGUGUGUCAGGGGAAAGAGAGAUGGCCGGAGACAACAAACUUUUAGGCCAGUUCACUUUGAUUGGAAUUCCCCCAGCCCCUCGUGGAGUGCCUCAGAUUGAAGUUCCAUUUGACAUUGAUGCAAAUGGGAUUGUGCACAUUUCUGCCAAAGAU
rnacentral:lncRNA from 1 species